rnacentral:rRNA from 1 species
UACGUAGGGUCCGAGCGUUGUCCGGAAUUAUUGGGCGUAAAGAGCUCGUAGGCGGUUUGUUGCGUCGGCUGUGAAAACUUCACGCUUAACGUGGAGCCUGCAGUCGAUACGGGCAGACUUGAGUUCGGCAGGGGAGACUGGAAUUCCUGGUGUAGCGGUGAAAUGCGCAGAUAUCAGGAGGAACACCGGUGGCGAAGGCGGCAUCCUGGACCUGUCCUGACGCUCAGGCGCGAAAGCUAGGGGAGCGAACAGG